UUUAUCGGAGAGUUUGAUCCUGGCUCAGGACGAACGCUGGCGGCGUGCCUAAUACAUGCAAGUCGAGCGGACAGAUGGGAGCUUGCUCCCUGAUGUUAGCGGCGGACGGGUGAGUAA
rnacentral:rRNA from 2 species